GAAGAGGACAGUGGAACUUCCAUGUGUAGCGGUGAAAUGCGUAGAUAUAUGGAAGAACACCAGUGGCGAAGGCGGCUGUCUGGUCUGCAACUGACGCUGAGGCUCGAAAGCAUGGGUAGCGAACAGGAUUAGAUACCCUGGUAGUCCAUGCCGUAAACGAUGAGUGCUAAGUGUUGGAGGGUUUCCGCCCUUCAGUGCUGCAGCUAACGCAUUAAGCACUCCGCCUGGGGAGUACGACCGCAAGGUUGAAACUCAAGGGAAUUGACGGGGGCCCGCACAAGCGGUGGAGCAUGUGGUUUAAUUCGAUGCUACGCGAAGAACCUUACCAGGUCUUGACAUCUUCUGCUAACCUAAGAGAUUAGGCGUUCCCUUCGGGGACGGAAUGACAGGUGGUGCAUGGUUGUCGUCAGCUCGUGUCGUGAGAUGUUGGGUUAAGUCCCGCAACGAGCGCAACCCUUAUUGUCAGUUGCCAGCAUUUAGUUGGGCACUCUGGCGAGACUGCCGGUGACAAACCGGAGGAAGGUGGGGAUGACGUCAAAUCAUCAUGCCCCUUAUGACCUGGGCUACACACGUGCUACAAUGGACGGUACAACGAGUCGCGAAACCGCGAGGUCAAGCUAAUCUCUGAAAGCCGUUCUCAGUUCGGAUUGCAGGCUGCAACUCGCCUGCAUGAAGUUGGAAUCGCUAGUAAUCGUGGAUCAGCAUGCCACGGUGAAUACGUUCCCGGGCCUUGUACACACCGCCCGUCACACCAUGAGAGUUUGUAACACCCAAAGCCGGUGAGGUAACCUUCGGGGGCCAGCCGUCUAAGGUGGGACAGAUGAUUAGGGUGAAGUCGUAACAAGGUAGCCGUAGGAGAACCUGCGGCUGGAUCACCUCCUUUCUAA
rnacentral:rRNA from 1 species